rnacentral:rRNA from 1 species
UACGUAGGGUGCGAGCGUUAAUCGGAAUUACUGGGCGUAAAGCGUGCGCAGGCGGCGCGUUAAGACAGGUGUGAAAAGCCCCCGAGCUUAACUUGGGAAUUUGCGCUUGUGACUGGCGUGCUGGAGUGUGGCAGAGGGGAGGUGGAAUUCCACGUGUAGCAGUGAAAAAAUGCGUAGAGAUGUGGAGGAACACCGAUGGCGAAGGCAGCCCUCCCUGGGGGGCCAGCACUGACGCUCAUGCACGAAAAGCGUGGGGGG